AGUCUGGUGCCAGCAGCCGCGGUAAUUCCAGCUCCAAUAGUGUAUAUUAUUAUUGUUGUAGUUAAAAAGCUCGUAGUUGGAUUUCGGAAUGCGGAAGUCAAAGCCCAUCUAAAUGGUGUGGCUCGACAUCCGCUUCCUGUCUUUGGGUAAUAGCAGUCUUUCGGGAUUUGUUGUUCCUAAUUGUUUACCUUGAAUAAAUAUGAGCGUUCAAAGCAGGUAUAUUUGCCUUGAAAUUUGCAGCACGGGAUAAUAGAAUAGGAUUUCGGCCUUAUUUUGUUGGUUUCUAAAGCUGAGAUAAUGAUUAAGAGGGACAGUUGGGGUCGCUCGUAUUGAGUUGUCAGAGGUGAAAUUCUAGGAUUGACUCAAGACGAACUGGUGCGAAAGCGUUCGACAAGGAUGUUUUCAUUAAUCAAGAACGAAAGUUGGGGGAUCGAAGAUGAUCAGAUACCGUCGUAGUCCUAACCAUAAACUAUGUGGACCAAGGAUCCGAAGAUGUUACAUGGAUGACUCCUCGGGCACUUUGUGAGAAAUCAGAGUAUUUGCAUUCCGGGGGGAGUAUGGCCGCAAGACUGAAACUUAAAGGAAUUGACGGAAGGGCACCACCAGGAGUGGAAUCUGCGGCUUAAUUUGACUCAACACGGGGAAACUCACCAGGUCCGGACACAGUAAGGAUUGACAGAUUGAGAGCUCUUUCUUGAUUCUGUGGGUGGUGGUGCAUGGCCGUUUUUAGUUGGUGGAUUGAUUUGUCUUGUUAAUUCAGAUAACGAGCGAGACCUCAUCCUGCUAAUUAGUGAUGCAAACUUGGUUGUCAUAAGAUUCGUUCUGGGGUAGCCUGUAUGGUUUGUACGCAACUUCUUAGAGGGACUCUCGGUAUUUUUAGCCGAUGGAAGUUUGAGGCAAAAACAGGUCUGUGAUGCCCUUAGAUGUCCUGGGCUGCACGCGCGUUACACUGGCAGUUGCAACGAGUUAUUCUCCUUCUCCGAAGGGAGCGGGUAAACUUUUUCAACGACUGCCGUGAUUGGGAUUGAGCCUUGUAAUUAUUGCUCAUGAACGAGGAAUUCCUAGUAAGCGCGAUUCAUCAAAUCGCGCUGAUUACGUCCCUGCCCUUUGUACACACCGCCCGUCGCUUGUACCGAUUGAAUGGUCCGGUGAGGACUUAGGACGGUAGGUAUGUGUCACUUCGCAAGGAGUGGCCAUACUCGCUGAAGUUUGUUCAAACCUUACCAUUUAGAGGAACAAGAAGU
rnacentral:rRNA from 1 species